rnacentral:rRNA from 1 species
GUCCUAGCCGUAAACUAUGGUCACUAGGUGUUGGGGCCCGUCUGGGCUUCAGUGCCGUAGGUAACCUGUUAAGUGACCCACCUGGGGAGUACGACCGCAAGGUUGAAACUCAAAGGAAUUGACGGGGCCAGCACAAGCGGUGGAACAUGUGGUUCAAUUCGAUGCUACGCGAAGAACCUUACCUAGGCUUGACAUGCAAGAAGUAGAAACCUGAAAGGGCGACGACUCGUAACCAGUCGAGAGCUUGCACAGGUGCUGCAUGGCUGUCGU